UCCUCAAUUUUCCCAUCCUAUCUCCGCGUCCUGCUCUCUGCCUCCCUCACUUCCCCCCUCCGGCCACAGCGCCUCAAUCCCGCUGCUGUCCAAACCCUCCACCCUAACUGCCUCAACCCGUCGCUGAAUCAAGUGAAAUGGGGCUGGAGAGGAGGUUGCUAUUCACAGCCGCCUCAGCGCAGGCCGAAUCUCGUCGUCACCACGCUGAGAAGAUAGAGAGUCAUCACCGUCCCGAAGCCCCCGAACCGUACCAACAGAGUGGCGCUGGGCUUCGAUCCAGCUCCAGAGCACAAGGCUGGGCCACUUUGUCGGUGAAGUCUCUUCUGCCUCAAGCUCCUACAGUCUGCAGAUGCCGUAGAAGUUGUGUUCUGCCGCGGCACCUCAACCUCUUCCUCUUAUCGAGCCAAUUUGGGAAGGUUAGAAGUAGGCAGCAGUCGCACCACUGCCGGAUCUUGACGCGACAUUAGUAUCGGAGGCGAUUUGCGGUGGCAAAGCACAAGGGGCAUCGAAAGAUCUUCCUGGCCAUCCAUGAUUCGGUCCGUCUUCCUCAUCUGCAUCCUAAGAGGCCACUAAGUAUUCAGAACAAGCUAUGGUGAAGUCCUUUGGCUUUGGAAGAAACUAUGAUGGCAUAAGCUCUUAACUGUACAAGCUACACAUGCAAGAGCCUUGAGAUGCAGAUACAAAAAACCUAUAGAGGCUGGCCGAUUGCAAACUUAUGGUUAUCGAAUUGUAACGGAAGUUAACCGGAGCACCAAAAAAAUCAUGUGUGUUUAUCAUCUUAUGGCGAAAAGAUGAAACUGCAAGUCUGCUUUUGAAUUCAAUUGUAAAAUGAGAUGAAUAUCAUGUGUAACAUGUAUUAUAUUUGAUGUUUAUGCUGA